UUUUCCUACUGAUUGUUGUGCCCUUCGUCCGUGAUCAAUUAACUUAAAUACUACUAUAGGAAUAAAGCCAUCGAGAAAAGGAAUUUCCCUAGGAAUAGAGAAUAUGGAUAUGAUCUAAAGCUCUGUAAUAGUGAUAGAAGAAUUGUCAUAUAAUAAUUGAUAGAAGAAUUGUCAUUGGUUCCAAAGCUAACUAAGUAAGAAAGAGAACUGGCACUGAGGAAACAAUCUUCAGAAGAGAAUUGUGGCACUGUCCAAAGGGAGUAGUGUAAGUUAGUGUUUUUCUAUUAAUACAAGCAAGAAUAUAGAGUGGGUAAGAUAGUUCUUCUAUUGAUACAAAUAGUAGGGUGGUUUUUCUUUUGAUCUAGUAACUAACCCAGCAACUUCUAACUAUACAGGUCACCCAGCAACUUCUAACUAUCAGGAUGGAACUGCCACCAAGAAAAAUGGUACAAGAGGGCAUAGAAUCAAACUCAUCCGUAUCAGAAUUAGGGAUGUUACUUGCAUUCUGUAUACUCGCCUAUCACUACUAAACUCAAGAAUUAGGGAUGUUACUUGCAUUCUGUAUACUCGCCUAUCAUUACUAAACUAAAGGGAUUUGUUUCGUUUCUAUGCUUUCACUCACCAACAUAUGUUUCUCAGCCUUACAUUCCUUCUUUUGAGUCUUGCUUGACUUGCUUUGAGUCUAGUGCCCCCGUCUUCCAUUCUGCAUUGAACCACUCUAUUCUUAUUCUUUUAUCCUUUCUGAGUCUUCUAAUUGCCCUUUUCGUUCUUUUACGAUUUGACCUCUAAGGUGUGGGGACUGUUGCUUAUAAGGCGGAAAACCAUUACCGACAAGAAUAACCGGUGUGGGCAACCCUACCUAUAAAUAACCUUUCUGCUAAGGAAGAAUCCAACUAGGGACAGUCAGACAACAGCUACUAAUAUAAGAAGUUAACUGGAAAGUUCGAAUGAAAAAAGACAGAAGUAAGUCUACCUGCCCGCAAUACAAGACAAAUGGGAUCAAUAGACAGAAUGGAACCAAAAGAGUUUAGCGGCAGGGCUCUUUCGUAUACAUUUCUUAGUGACAUAAAGAAUUCUACUAGUGCUUCCAAGAAACCACCUCCCAUAAAACAGAAUAUGAAUGCUACCUAGAGCAAUUGAACUCAGGAAUCAACACCGCUACUAUAGGAUUGAUUGUCCUUACUUGCCUUUUAGCCUUACCUUAUGUAUCUCGGUCUGAUAACCUGGGAACUAAAUCUGACUUAAUUACAUCCAAAUCUGACUUCUUUUCUGACUCCUAUGGUGGUUAGUUACAUUCCCGCUCUCCUGUUGACAAACUUGCCUUCUUUGAUUCUCACUAUCCUGCCUUUGACUACAGGAGUUAGAUGAAGGAGUUUCGGCCUACAACUCAAUAAUGAAAGAAGCAAGUAGAAGACUAAGCUCUCCCGACGGAAGGUACAAGAAUCAAGGUGGAAAUAAGGAAUUUUCAUAAGUAGAGGAGUAGCAUGGGCCCCGACCUCUCAUAGAUCAGCUCAUAGAUAAGAAUGAACUAAAUGGUAUAAGAGUAACAGCCCGGGGACAAAGGCUUAUAUGUGUGGGUUUGCUCUUAUCGAGUUAGUAGCGCUAGUUGGAUUCUAUUGCUUGUAUAGGCUAGAUCUUAUUCUCUAAAUAUAAGUAAAUAGAUAAGUAAUUGUAUGAAAUUCAGAUAAUAGAUAAGGGUAAAUAAACAAGUAAGAACCAAAGCCAGGGUUUAGUACAGUAAAGCAAGAAUUCCAUUGAGGAGUAAGGCCUCAGGACUGAACCAAGGAAACCUAACUCGAAACACAGGAUUGAACUCAGAGAAGUAAGGCUCCAGCUGGAAACUCAGAAGUCAACUAGUGCUCCCUACGCCUAAACUACUCUAACAGGCCCCAACUCAUAACUUGGAAUGAACUGCUGACUAAAAGCUUGAACUCAACACUUAUAAUCAAAGGAGUUUAUUACACUCUUUCUCUUUUUCAUUUAACGAUAAGGGCUAUGGUAUCGGUGUGAAGUAAUAAGUAGAAGUGGGGAUACCACCUAGCGCACCUACUAAGAAGAAUGAGUCUAGGAAUAAAGAAUUGAGCACUGCUCCAACUGAUCAAACUAAGAAAUAUAAGGAUAGGGUAGUCUGUAGCACAUUAAGAUUAAGAGUCACUUCUGGGAGUCUUGCUUUUAGGCUGUAGUAACUCCCACCCUGCUUAGUCUACUGAUCCAUACGAGACUUAGAGCUGGGGAUCAUAGUUGGAAACAGGCAGCAAGGUUUGAGUGUCGUAUAUAGGAUAGGGAGGGAUGUCAGUAGCGAAAGAAUGAUAUGAAUACAAGUAACGUGGGGCUUGGCUACUGUUGAGUAGGACUUGGUUUGUGAAGUAAGAUUGACUACCCGAAGAGUAAGGCUGGUUUGUGAAGUAAGUCCUCUAAGUGGUAGGUUUCUUUCUUUUAUUAUGAUAUAAUAACCAACAGUUCUAUUCUCGUGGUAGUGGUUUGAAGCCUUGUUGUCUCAUUGAUUAGCCGUAUCAGUAGCUCAUAGACAGAUUAUUCACCCAGAAGAAGGAAGUACCCCGGGCCAGGCGCCUACACACUCCUAACUGACCUUACCGCACUAUACCUCUAUUUGUUAUACCUGUUCUUUGCGUCCUUGCUUUCCCACCCUGGCAUCAUACUGUUCGCCAGCGUAUCAAUCUUACUCACCGGUAGCACCAAGCCUAUGUUUAUUUAUAUUUCAUAAUAGUAUGAUGUUUAUUUGUAUUUGAUAAUAGUAGUUUGAUCUGAUCCCAGCUUAUUGUUGAAUUACUGAUAUAAGGUUCAAGUAUGAUUGGUGCCAGCUCCACUCUUGUUAUAUCUGUAGUUGGGCUCUAUCUCCCUAUGCGCCAGGAUCGUACCUAUGAGUUUCAGAAUAAAAGCAUCAAUAAUCAAUACACGAUGCAAGUAAGCUGCGGAGGAGUAAAAGCGAGGAGCUAGUUAUCGAAUCAACCAAAGAGAGGUAGACCAAUAGCCGGGAAGGGAAGAGUGAAAGGUAGUUUCAAAGGAUGAUAGACAUGUUAGUAAUAAUAGGAGUUAGGUUAAUGAAUUUCAGUAUUAAAGUUAGGAUCGGACGGGACAGAUUUCUUUCACAGUAGGUUAAGCUUGAAGGCGGGGAUGUGACUUAACGAACACAAAGAUCUGCAUCCACACAAGUACAAGGGAUUCCACAAAGCUAGUAGGUAAGCGAUACUGUCUUUGCAUACGAGCUCUAGGGCUGAGAGUAGUAAGCAUCAGAACUCAACAAAUAAGUAAAGGAAUGAAGCCACUAACUAGCAGAUGGAUAACUAGCAGAUUGAACCCAGGGAUGCUGCAGUGCCACAACAAGACCUUCACUAACGAUAACAAGGAUCGAAUCACUGCUAAUAGGGGCAUUGAACCACUACUGACAGGGCUGCUACUCCCUCCUUUCAUUAUGACUACUGCCGAACUCUUUCACCUCGAAACCAAGAAACCGACUACUACUUUGGAGAACAAAACUAAGAACCCAGCCUUGCUUUACUACACCUAAAGCUGCCUUCACUUGCUCGGAGUCUGAUUUCACCCUAGCAACAUUACUCAACUAUAUGACACAGCUAAGCAAAAGACCCAUUCAUCCAACAAGCGACCAAGUCUUACUGAACUCUAUCUUAUUCUUUAGGCGCUGAUCUAGAACCUUACAUUCAUAGGUGUUUUGCUAUUAGCGUAGUUUAAGAGCAGCCCUACCGCCAUGAAUACAGCACUUUACUAUGCUAUUCCUCGCAGUUUUCUACCUUUACUAUUGGUAUCUUUCUAUUCGAUAAAGAGAUGUCAGAAUAAAGGUUUGAUGGAAUUCCACUCGGAAUUAAUAAGUAACGGGCUAGGUUUUUUAAGA
rnacentral:lncRNA from 1 species